CCUACGGGGGGCAGCAGUAAGGAAUAUUGGUCAAUGGAGGCAACUCUGAACCAGCCAUGCCGCGUGCAGGAAGACGGCCUCCGGGUUGUAAACUGCUUUUAUCUGGGAAUAUGUACCAGAAGAAUAAGGAUCGGCUAACUCCGUGCCAGCAGCCGCGGUAAUACGGAGGAUCCAAGCGUUAUCCGGAUUUAUUGGGUUUAAAGGGUGCGUAGGCGGCCUGUUAAGUCAGAGGUGAAAGACGGUAGCUCAACUAUCGCAGUGCCUUUGAUACUGAUGGGCUUGAAUUAACUAGAGGUAGGCGGAAUGUGACAAGUAGCGGUGAAAUGCAUAGAUAUGUCACAGAACACCGAUUGCGAAGGCAGCUUACUAUGGUUUAUUGACGCUGAGGCACGAAAGCGUGGGGAUCAAACAGGAUUAGAUACCCUUGUAGUC
rnacentral:rRNA from 1 species